rnacentral:ncRNA from 1 species
CUGAAAAAUUGAAAAAAAAAGAAUGAAAACGUGGUAUCUCCACACUGCAGGGAGAUAAUUAAGACUAAUAAUGGUUCGUGUUGUAAGUGAUUUUAAAAACAAAGCACAGCUAUUUCUAUUUCUAUUAGGCUUAUAUAAAGCUUUUAUAGGUUUUUAUGAAGUUUAUAGUUGGCUUUUUUAGAUAAUUAACUGUAGGUCCUAGCCUACGGGAUGCUGAUGUUGCACCUUCAAACCAGCCAUACACUCACUCCCUGCAUCAAGCAUCUCUAGUCAGAGGACACCUCUCCAUCCAUUUAACAAUAAUACCUCAUCAUGUUUCCAGAUUUUCCUCCACACUGGUGUUAAGCUAAUUGCUCUGUGAUAGCUUAGUGAUCCUACAUGUCAUGUUUGCUGCUUCUCAGUCCCUGCAAAUCCCUGCAAAAUUUCUUGAGGGAACUCAGACCUGAAGCUUACCUGGAAACAGGGAGGAUGGAAACCUCCUGUGGAGCAGAAGGGCAAAAGCUCGCUUGAUCUUGAUUUUCAGUACGAAUACAGACCGUGAAGGCGGGGCCUCAUGAUCUUUCUGGCUUUUUGGGUUUUAAGCAGGAGGUGUCAGAAAAGUUACCACAGGGAUAACUUGCUUGUGGUGGCCAAGCGUUCACAGCAACGUCACUUUUUGAUCCUUCAGUGUCAGCUCUUCCUAUCAUCGUGAAGCAGAAUUCACCAAAUGUUGGAUAGUUCACCCACUAAUAGAGAACAUGAGCUGGGCUUAGACUGUCGUGAGACAGGUUAGUUUUACCCUACUGAUGA